rnacentral:rRNA from 1 species
AUUGAACGCUGGCGGCAGGCUUAACACAUGCAAGUCGAGCGAGCGGCGGACGGGUGAGUAAUGUCUGAGAAACUGCCUGACGGAGGGGGAUAACUACUGGAAACGGUAGCUAAUACCGCAUACCAUCAGAUGUGCCCAUAUGGGAUUAGCUAGUAGGUGGGGUAAUGGCUCACCUAGGCGACGAUCCCUAGCUGGUCUGAGAGGAUGACCAGCCACACUGGAACUGUGACACGGUCGAGAAUCCUACGAGAGGCAGCAGUGGGGAAUAUUUGACGAUGGGCGCAAGCCUGAUGCAACCAUGACGCGUGUGUGAAGAAGGCCUUCGGGUUGUAAAGCACAUUCAGCGUGGGGGCGUGACUCGCAGAAGAAGCACCGGCUAACUCCGUGCCAGCAGCCGCGGUAAUUC